ACCGAUGUGGUCCAACGGCUAGGAUAGUGGUCUUUCACACCAUUGGCCCGGGUUCGACUCCCGGCAUCGGUG